UACAGAGGUCUCAAGCGUUGUUCGGAUUCAUUGGGCGUAAAGGGUGCGUAGGCGGCGCGGUAAGUCGGGUGUGAAAUCUCGGGGCUUAACUCCGAAACUGCAUUUGAUACUGUGGUGCUUGAGGACUGGAGAGGAGACUGGAAUUCACGGUGUAGCAGUGAAAUGCGUAGAGAUCGUGAGGAAGACCAGUGGCGAAGGCGGGUCUCUGGACAGUUCCUGACACUGAGGCACGAAGGCCAGGGGAGCAAACGGG
rnacentral:rRNA from 1 species